GUUUGUAGACCAAAAGAAUAUGGUGGCCUCGGGGUGCUCGACACCGACAAGUUUGCACGUGCUUUGCGGCUCCGAUGGCUAUGGUAUGAAUGGACUAAGCCCCGCAGAUUAUGGGUUGGCCUUGGAAACCCGUGCACGGAGGAGGACCUCGAGUUUUUCUAUGCCUCUACGACUAUCACUGUAGGGGAUGGCGCCAAAACGCCUUUUUGGGGCUCCCUAUGGCUUCUUGGUCGCAAACCCAAGGAUAUCGCGCCACUCUUGUUUGCGGCCUCGAGAAGAAAGAAUUGGAAGGUCCGUGAGUCCCUCACGGGGAACGCUUGGAUCUUCAAGAUCAAUCAUGACAUGGACACGGUUGUCUCCAUCGCCCACAUUAGGGAGUUCUUCACUCUUUGGAUGCUCCUUAACGACAUCCACCUUCAUGAGCAAACCGAAGACGUCAUCGUUUGGAAGCAUGCGAACGAUGGGAUCUACAUGGCGGCCACCGCAUACAAGGCUCAAUUCCUAGGCAUGACUCCCUCCCCCUUGGAUCGAAUGGUUUGGAAGGCAUGGGCACCUCCAAAGGUUAAGUUUUUUGCUUGGUUGGCAUUGCAAGAUAGGAUUUGGACCGCCGAUCACCUGGAGCGUCGAGGUUGGUAA
rnacentral:rRNA from 1 species